GGCAGCCCUCGAAUCCCCCUCCCGGCGCAGCAGAGCUCGGAGGCCCGUGUCAUCCGCGUCAGCAUCGACAAUGACCACGGGAACCUGUAUCGAAGCAUCUUGCUGACCAGUCAGGACAAAGCCCCCAGCGUGGUCCGGCGAGCCUUGCAGAAGCACAAUGUGCCCCAGCCCUGGGCCUGUGACUAUCAGCUCUUUCAAGUCCUUCCUGGGGACCGGGGUUCCCAGUGACAGCAGAAUGAGCUUGGCUUGGCAGUAGCUGCAGAGGGACCCAUGGCUGUUCAGGUUCGCGGUGCUCCUGAUUCCUGACAAUGCCAACGUCUUCUAUGCCAUGAGUCCAGUCGCCCCCGGAGACUUCAUGCUGCGGCGGAAAGAGGGGACCCGGAACACUCUGUCUGUCUCCCCAAGCUGAGGCAGCUCUGUCCUCUCCACAAGACACAAGUCCCACAGGCAAGCUUACGACUCCUCUCCUGGAAAGCUGCCAUCCCCCAGUAGAGGCCACUGUGCUGUGUAUCCCAGGACCACCACCCAACUGUAGCCCAUUGGACCCCAUCUCUUUUUCUGACUCUGUUGGUACUAGAUCCAUAUUCCAAAGACAUCAGCCCAUGGGUGGCUGGUGGAGAGCUCAAUCCCAUAAAUGUAGAAAGAGGUGGGGCAUGGAUACGUCAGAUCCCUCCCCAGAGAAAUCUUAUAAAUGUUAGAGACGCAUCAGAAGUGACAGAUGCGGAUGAAAAUAGUGAACAGAGUUAU
rnacentral:sRNA from 1 species